ACCGGAAAUUCCUUCCCAUGAGGCGCUGCAACUGCUCAGCACCUGGUAGUGUUGAGUUCGGAACCAUUAAACCAGUGAGAUUCUCAGUGUCUACCCUUUCUCCCAGAGCUGGGUCUUCUUGUGCGUGGCUUUGACUGUGCCACAGGCAGCCAGUGAUCAGCCAUAGAUAUGGACAUCCUUCUGCAGCCGGUCACAGGACAGCAGUACUCACCCUGAACUACUGCCUUUCUAGACCCUGUUGUCACACCCCAAGAUGAAUCAAACGCCAACAUGGUUGCACCUGCUGUCACAGUCCUCCCGUCCACCACGGGUGACCUUCUGCAGCCGAGUCAUUAUUUGUGACAAUGUCUGUCACUGCUCAGCCUUCCGAUCAGAUCUUCCUUUGCCCACCAGAGUGUAGAUGACUCAGCUGAAGAAGAAGAAGCUGACCCUCAGAGAUGAGACACCACUGUGCGGUCCGGUCCCUUGCUUGGCCUUGCAGCUGUGGAGGGAAAACAGCGGUUCACCAGCAGGGGGCGCCCACCUCUUCUGGUCAGCCCACCUGCCUGCUCUAGGCAGUCAGUCCUUGCCUGGCCAUCAGUUUGGCCUCCGGCUGUUGAAUCAAUG
rnacentral:lncRNA from 1 species